rnacentral:lncRNA from 1 species
CAUCUUCUCGGGCGGUAUCUGACGUGUUUACUCCGGUGUUUAGCGGCUUGUGUGGUCGGCGGUCCGGCAGGGUGGCAGCGGCGGCGUCGCGGGGACCCAGCCCGGAUCUGGAGGACUUCUUUGAAGAUGAGCUUUUCUUCCCAGAGAACCAAGGUCAAGCUGACCUGCUGUGUAUGUGCUAAACUGGGGCAAACAUCGCCUUGUGACUGGAAAAAAUUGUGUUCCUGUCAUGCGUGAUGUAUGUUCUUUGUUCUCAAACGUCUAUAACCGUGCUGGAAACCACGCUUCCCCACAGUGCUUUCUUGUCUGAGAAAGAGACCGCUUCUGGGCUAGCCCUCACAUCAGGCUCGAUAAAUAUCACUCUAUCUUUCUCUUCUGUAGAUUGAUUAUUCAUUAUUUGCAUCAACCCCUUCUACAAGCUGGGAAAAUUUAAAAUAUUAUAGUUGCCAUUAAACAAAUGCAAGAUUUGCAUCUUGAGAACAUUCUCUGUUCUGCGUCAAAGAAGGAUACCCACCCUGCUUAGAUAAUCGUACUUAUUGAUCCUCAGAGAAUCACAUGAUGUCUGGUUUUGGUUUACAGUUUAUAAAGAGCCUUCAUCUUUGCUCUCUCCCUCAAUCAUGAUGACACCCCUUUGAGACAGGGGUAUUACCCUCAUUUUAAUAGGUGGGGAAAUCGAGGCUCAGAGAGAGAAAGUCACUUGCCCACACUUAUUCUGGGAAGAAGUGGUGCCAUCUGGACACCAGUGCAAGUGCUUUGUCCUUUCCAUAUACUGCACCUGCCACGCCUCUUGCUGAGAUGUCCUCCAUUCAGCAAUCCACCAGGAGGCCAGUAUGGGGUCUUGACCAAGAGCUCUGGCUCUGGGGUCAGACUGCCUGGCAUUGAAUCUUACUAAUUGUGUGGGCAUGUUUGGAGCCUUUCUCCGCCUCAGUUUGCUCAGUUGUAUAAUAGAGAUAAUAUCUGCAUAAAGGAACUCUUGGAAAAUUGCAACUCAAAAUCUUGUUUUUCUUUCUCUUCUUUCUUCUUCUCCUGCUCCUCCUCCUUUGAGACGAUUUGCUGUGGAGUGAUCUUCAUCUGGGAAACAGACUGACUUAGACUGUCACCAGGAGAGCUCCAUACCACAAAGCUUGGGCCAUUUCAUUCACAACUGGGGAUUGUCUUUUUUUUUUUUAAUUGAGUUCAUAACAGUUCACAUCAAUGUGAAAUUUCACUUGUACAUUAUUUCUUGUCUGUCACGACAUAGGUGCUUCCCUUUCAC